GACGAACGCUGGCGGCGUGCCUAACACAUGCAAGUUGAGCGACGAACCAGGGCUUGCCCUGGGGCAAAGCAGCGAACGGGUGAGUAACACGUGGGUAACCUACCCCGAUAACCGGGACAACCCGAGGAAACUCGGGCUAAUACCGGAUGUGCCCACUGGACUUCGGUUCAGUGCGUAAAGGAAGCUUCGGCCUCCGGAUCGGGAGGGGCCCGCGGCCCAUUAGUUUGUUGGUGGGGUAACGGCCCACCAAGACCGCGAUGGGUAGCUGGUCUGAGAGGACGAUCAGCCACACUGGGACUGAGACACGGCCCAGACUCCUACGGGAGGCAGCAGUGGGGAAUCUUGCGCAAUGCGCGAAAGCGUGACGCAGCAACGCCGCGUGGGGGAAGAAGGCCUUCGGGUUGUAAACCCCUUUCGGGAGGGACGAAGGUUCGGCGGUGAAUAGCCGUCCGGACUGACGGUACCUCCACAAGAAGCCCCGGCUAACUACGUG
rnacentral:rRNA from 1 species